rnacentral:misc_RNA from 1 species
GAUGAAGAACGCAGCGAAAUGCGAUAAGUAGUGUGAAUUGCAGAAUUCAGUGAAUCAUCGAAUCUUUGAACGCACAUUGCGCCCCUUGAUAUUCCAUGGGGCAUGCCUGUUCGAGCGUCAUUUGUACCUUCAAGCUUUGCUUGGUGUUGGGUGUUUGUCUCGCCUCUGCGUGUAGACUCGCCUCAAAACAAUUGGCAGCCGGCGUAUUGAUUUCGGAGCGCAGUACAUCUCGCGCUUUGCACUCAUAACGACGACGUCCAAAAGUACAUUUUUACACUCUUGACCUCGGAUCAGGUAGGGAUACCCGCUGAACUUAAGCAUAUCAAUAAGCGGAGGA